GGAGAUAUAGCUUAGCAGCAAAGCACUUGCCUGGCAAGCCCAAGGUCCUGAGUUCAAUUCCCAGUUUCACUC
rnacentral:tRNA from 1 species